rnacentral:rRNA from 1 species
GGAUAAUGCAGAUAAGGGAAUUCGGCAAAUUAGAUCCGUAACUUCGGGAAAAGGAUUGGCUCUGAGGAUUGGAUUCAAGGGCCCAUUCAUGAACGCUUAGUCGUUAGUUGGUGCGAGGCAACGAGUGCUUUCUGACUUCGACGCUGGAUUGUGUGGGACGCUUCAUCGGCUUUCCUUGAAUAAUUAACAAUUAACUCAGAACUGAAGCGGACAAGGGGAAUCCGACUGUUUAAUAAAACAUAGCAUUGUGAUGGCCUGAAAAGGUGUUGACACAAUGUGAAUUCUGCCCAGUGCUUUGAAUGUCAAAGUGAAGUAAUUCAACCAAGCGCAGGUAAACGGCGGGAGUAACUAUGACUCUCUUAAGGUAGCCAAAUGCCUCGUCAUCUAAUUAGUGACGCGCAUGAAUGGAUUAAUGAGAUUCCCACUGUCCCUAUCUGCUACCUAGCGAACACACAGCCAAGGGAACAGGCUUGGAAUAAUCAGCGGGG